rnacentral:lncRNA from 1 species
UGGUAUAAUGUUCCUAUGAUAGGGCUGCAGUUUUUUAUUCCCAAACUGGAUAAACUGGUGGGUACAACGUGAGCAUUCGGGCAGGUGACACCUACGAGCAGUGAGCAGCUGUCCGUCAGCCAGGGAAAGGCAUGUGACCAGUGCUGCUGUUCUGCAACUGCCGGGCAGCAUCUCGUGUCCCUGGGCGCAGGAAUCCCGCGAUUACCAGGUACCCAUUUUCCGCAGUGCCUCCCACCGAGCCCGGACUGCCGGAGAUGAGGCUGCUGCUCCUCGACAUGGCCUCUGUCGAGGCACGGCGCUUCCAGCUCUGCUCCAGAGGAGCGCAGCACUUCGGGUCCUCCUGUAACUCAUCUCCUGGAGGUUCGCCCCCGCAGUCCGUCACUCACGGAGCUAUCCCCAUCAGGAACCCAUGAGCUGAGAAAUCCAAAGUCAGGGCUGUGCUGCUGUAAGGUUUUCUGCUCCCUAACCCGCCCACGCUCCCCCACGACACCGCAUUGUUUUGCUUUCCUUCCAUCUCCUUUUUAUUCCUGCGCGUUCAGGCGACAUUUUCCAAGUGUUCCCCGCUGCUUGGACAUUCACAGCGCCCGGGACGCCGCGGCGGGAGAGCGGCCGGGGCUGCGGCGAAGGGCGCGCACGGAGACCCCCCGGCCCCGCUCGCCCGACACCGCGCCCCGGCCGCGGGGACACCGACCACACCUCCGGCUCCCGGCGGCAGAGCACGCCCUCCCCUUCCCGGGAGCCGCAGGCGCCCCCCGCCCGGGCCGGCUGGAGCGGGGCUUUCCCUCUCCCGACAAGCCCCUCCCGCCACCCGCGCCUGCCUCAGCCCCAGCCCCAGCCCCCCCGGCAGCGCACGCCGCUUCCCGCUGCCGCCCGCGCCUGCUCCGGGAGGAAGAGGGGCGGCGGCAGCAGCGGGCGGCCGAGAGGGACCCGCCUUUCACUCUCCCCGGCCCGGCCCCCCGGGCCCGCCGCCCACCGCGGGCGCGGCGCAGCGCAGCGCGGCCGCCGCCGCCCCGCCAUGAGCCGGAGGUAGCGGCGGCGGCGCCUUCCGCAGCCGCCGCCGCCCGCCCGCCCCGCCG